rnacentral:lncRNA from 1 species
UUCUCAUGAAAAAUUAUACUCUAUACCAGAUGCACCACAUCAGCGGUGCAUCAUAGGAGUAAUUCGAGAUGAGGUGAGGGAGGAGACCAUUUGAAAUUGCUCCUAUGGAUAAAUUAUUGCCUCGACCACUUCCGAACAAAUCUCAAAGCACAUGCACGAAGGAUAAUAUGCAAUCAGGAAUUCAUGAAAUACAAGGGUUAAUGUAGUGUGCUAUUUACCGUGGG